rnacentral:rRNA from 1 species
GACAGAGGCCUCGAGCGUUAGGCGGAAUCACUGGGCUUAAAGCGUGUGUAGGCGGAUCGUUAAGUGUCUUGUGAAAUCCCACGGCUCAACCGUGGAACUGCUGGGCAUACUGGCGAUCUUGAGCAGCCUAGGGGCGACCGGAACAAACGGUGGAGCGGUGAAAUGCGUAGAUAUCUGGAGGAACAUCGGUGGCGAAGGCGACAUCCUGGACCGGUAUUGACGCUGAGGCGCGAAAGCCAGGGGAGCAAACGGG